GUCUGCAAGUAUUUUUUAACUUUAUUUUUAAAUGCUGUUUUUACAGUGAGGCAGCUUGUAAGUGAAGUGACUGUGUAGGCCACUCCUUUUAAUACAAUAUCUCCCUGGCAACAAGACCGGCAAAAAUAGAAAAAGAGAUUAGAUGACCAAUUGUUUCUUCCAUCUCUCACGUCUUCAAUUCCUUUGCUGGAUGGUUGAUGCAGUGCUCGGACUCAGUGACUCCUCUGGGUGGGUGAAGCUCGGUUCGGUAUGUUGCCUUUGGCAAAAAUCAUUACAUGCAGCUACAAGGUAUGCGAUGCUGAUAUCAUAUGGCUGUAAAAGGAGAAAAAAAAUCUUUGAAGUGCCAGUAGAAAGUCUUGGCUAUCGCAAGACCAAAAUUUCAGUAUUUCCUUAUGAAUAUUUUUAAGCUCUAACUUAAGGGAACAACAAGGAGAUUUUGGGAAGAUCAGACAAUUGAUCCAGGAACCAUGACUGGGAACAGUUCCUUGGAAGGGCAUCCAGCUUGAUAGCCCUGAACAUCAUUCAUGGACAGCACAGCAACACAGAACAGAUGAUGGAGAAAACACAGAUGUAUUAUUGACUGAGACAAAUGAGAGAUGCUCAAAAUCAAGUGUUUGGUUCAAAAUGUACAGUCUUCUAAUUCAUUCCAGUUAGAAGAAGGGAAUACCUUGUGCAGGCAUUCCUGAUAUAACCCCCUGUAACUGUUAUACGUCCUUGCCCUUCUCACUGCUGUAAGGCACCUCUCAGACCCCUACCAGAGUGCAGUUGCUGCACAGUGGGUCAGUGCUUGAUAUGAGAUACUCCUCUACAGGGAACAUAUUUUCAUACUUCUCUGUCUUCACCGGUUAGUAACUUGCUCUAUGAGCAAAAGCUGGUUUUAACCUUAAGAGCCUUAAAUGGUAAGAAUUACUUCUGAGACUGCCUCAACAUCUGUGGCAUAAAGCAACAACAGAGAUCACAGGGAGUGUUCGAGCUAGGAGAGUCCAAUUUAGUUGCCUUUCAUUUGUUUUCACUGGCUCGCACUCUCAGUAGUUCUGAAGCCUCUAAUUCAGAUCUCGCCCAAUUCAAAAGCUCUGGAACUGCUCAUUCCCAGGGCACACUGUAAGUUUCACUUGCUCUCCCCAGUUUUUUAUUUUUCAGUUAAGGCCACAGAAGAAUAUGACAAAAGCAUAUUGCAACAUGAAAUGAGAUCUAUAAAAUAUGUUUUUGUUACUUAUGGCCAGAUUAUUCAGCUCUUGGCAGACACCAACACAGAUAUGGGAAACAGGCAUGAAGGGCAGCCCUAAAUCAUGCAAUUUGCAACCAACCUCACUUGGCAGUGUCAGAAGGUGUCAGCUAGCUGAAUCAAUUAGCCAUACCCCUUUCUGUCAGACAUGCUCAAAGAAUGGCUGUUCUUUGGAGAGGAAAGAAAGGUGGGGAAACCCCACUCAGCUGAGCUAACUUUCUGAUGGCAUAACACCAAUUUAGUCAACAUUAGGUUCUUCAAAAUGCCGGCCUAUUCUUGCAGAUCUUGCUCACACAUGUAUUCUUAUUCUGAAAAACACUCUAAGAGGCAACCAUCUAAUAACUGCUUUGUCCAGAAAGAGCCAAAAAAACUAUUUCCCCAAUCCAUUUUAUCCAUUAUCAUCUUAUGCAGUAAAACGAACCAAACUUAGCCACUUUGUAAUACCAAUCUAGUCAGGUACAACAUGCAAUUAUACAAAUAGGGUUAGUCAAGUUUUAAAUCAAAUGAAAUAAGCAAAUACACACUAUCUCAUUUCUUUUGAGAGUAAGUAUAAGUGAUCCAUUUCUUGCACAAGUCUCAUUCCUGUUCUUCCAAGCACAGCAGAAGUUAGCACUACAGAAUGUGAGUAUGGGGCACUAAGUAUACACACACAUAAAAUCAUUCUAAAAAAGAGUAGGCAUACACACCAAAUCCCAUAGCUGCAACAUCUACCCCAAAGUCCUUGUAUAGAAACAUCAUUUUGGUGGGGUGCAGUGCAACCUUCAAGUUACUUCAGGCACUUUGUUCAGUAGCAUCCCCUAUCAUCCUCAAAAUAAUUGUUGGGCUUUUUUGUGACCAUAAGAGAACCCCACAGCAGAAAGAACUAAAUGGAGAUUUGUGCACACAGAGUAUCUGCUCAAAGGAAUGGUAGCCCUACGCUGUGCGGACAUGUGAUGUUCGUACAUGUUUGCAAUAACAUGGAUAUCGUAUCUGUGCUUCGUUUGUCUUCUUUUCCAGAAAUUUCAGACCACAUGAAACCACAGCAUACACUUUCACUUGCAGUCUUCUGAAUACAAGGGUUACAGCUUUGUCAAAAUUAGAACAAACUGUAAAUGAGAAAAAAAAAAGUUUUCUUAAGAACCUAAGAUCCUUAGAUGAGCUGGCAAUGUGCGCUUGCAGAUCAAAAGGCCAACCACAUCCUGGGUGGCAUCAAGAGAAGUGUGACCAGGAGGUUGAGAAAGGUGAUUCUGCCUCUCUGCUGUGCUCUUGUGAGACUCCACCUGGAGUACUGCAUCCAAUUCUGGUGCUCACAACACAAGAAGGACAUGGAGUUGUUGAAUAAGGUCCAGAGGAGGGCCACAGAGGUGAUCAGAGGGCUGGAGCACCUUCCCUACAGGGACAAAAUAAGAGAGCUGGGUAAGGCUCUUCAGCCUG
rnacentral:lncRNA from 1 species